GAUGAACGCUGGCGGCGUGCCUAAUACAUGCAAGUCGAGCGAACGGACGAGAAGCUUGCUUUUCUGAUGUUAGCGGCGGACGGGUGAGUAACACGUGGAUAACCUACCUAUAAGACUGGGAUAACUUCGGGAAACCGGAGCUAAUACCGGAUAAUAUUUUGAACCGCAUGGUUCAAAAGUGAAAGACGGUCUUGCUGUCACUUAUAGAUGGAUCCGCGCUGCAUUAGCUAGUUGGUAAGGUAACGGCUUACCAAGGCAACGAUGCAUAGCCGACCUGAGAGAGGGAUAGCCCGCGCGGGAAGUGAGACGCGGUCAAGACGCCUACGGGAGGGAGCAGAAGGGAAUGUGACGCAAUGGGCGAAAACAUGACGGAGCAACGGCAAGCGAGUGAUGAAAGUCUUCGGAGCGUGAAACUGUGUUAUGAGGGAAGAACAGAUGUGGAAGUAACUGUGCACAUCGUGACGGUACCGAAUAAGAAAGCAACGGCUAACUACGUG
rnacentral:rRNA from 1 species